ensembl:snoRNA small nucleolar RNA, C/D box 11
GUGAUCAAUGAGGAUCUUAAUUGGUUUGCCUGACUACGUUUCAGUAAUGGGGGCAACUCUAGUCACUACCUCUUCUGAGACAC